rnacentral:misc_RNA from 1 species
GAGAGAGAGAGAGAGUAUUUUGUCAAAAAGGUAGGCUGCGAUUGCAAUGAGUUUGAUACAAAUGUAAAAAGAGCGGCGACAUUGGAGACUUGGACAUUUAAUACUAGUAGGGGGGGACAAGGGGUAGGAAGAAGAAGAACAACUCAGUUCUCUUGGCAAUCCCUUGUGUUCUCUUUUCCAUUUUUUUUUUUGUCUUAUUAUAUCAACUCUCACACUAGGUGGACACCUCAUCCUUAAUUCAACUUCUGAUCAGAAUUUUUGUUAUACGAUAAGUUUAAUGUCUGCUUGUUUUCUGGG